AACGAACGCUGGCGGCAGGCUUAACACAUGCAGGUCGAGCGCCCCGCAAGGGGAGCGGCAGACGGGUGAGUAACGCGUGGGAAUCUACCUUUUGCUACGGAAUAACUCAGGGAAACUUGUGCUAAUACCGUAUGUGCCCUUCGGGGGAAAGAUUUAUCGGCAAAGGAUGAGCCCGCGUUGGAUUAGCUAGUUGGUGGGGUAAAGGCCUACCAAGGCGACGAGCCAUAGCUGGUCUGAGCGGAUGAUCAGCCACAUUGGGACUGAGACACGGCCCAAACUCCUACGGGAGGCAGCAGUGGGGAAUAUUGGACAAUGGGCGCAAGCCUGAUCCAGCCAUGCCGCGUGAGUGAUGAAGGCCCUAGGGUUGUAAAGCUCUUUCACCGGUGAAGAUAAUGACGGUAACCGGAGAAGAAGCCCCGGCUAACUUCGUGCCAGCAGCCGCGGUAAAAC
rnacentral:rRNA from 1 species